rnacentral:rRNA from 1 species
CAGAGGGUGCAAACGUUGUUCGGAAUUACUGGGCGUAAAGCGCGUGUAGGCGGCUCUGCAAGUCGGGUGUGAAAUCCCAUGGCUCAACCAUGGAAGUGCACUCGAAACUGCAGGGCUAGAGUCCUGGAGAGGAAGGUGGAAUGCUUGGUGUAGAGGUGAAAUUCGUAGAUAUCAAGCGGAACACCGGUGGCGAAGGCGGCCUUCUGGACAGUGACUGACGCUGAGACGCGAAAGCGUGGGGAGCAAACAGGAUUAGAUACCCUGGUAGUCCACGCCGUAAACGAUGAGUGCUAGGUGUCACGGGCUUUGACCCUCGUGGUGCCGAAGCUAACGCGUUAAGCACUCCGCCUGGGGAGUACGGUCGCAAGGCUA